UCUGCUUCUUACAAUAGAUAUGGCUGGAUUCUGUCUUUAUACAAAGUGAACUGUAUACAAAUGUGAGUUUUUGCAUGACCGCUAAUAUUAUACAAAUGAAUUAAGUGGAAGAUGUAAAGUUUUUAUAAGGAGAGCAUAGUUGCUUAGAGUGAAAAACUGCUCAGUCAAGUUUCCAAAAGAUACAAGGUAAUUGUUAUCCGUCAGAAAAACAUUAGCUUUUGCUCUGGGUGUGUGUGAUAAUAAGAUGUUAGAUACUCUGGUUCCCGCUUUAGGCCUGCCCAAAGAAACUUUCUUGACGGUAGUAGAUAAUCUUGUUUAGUAAUGCACCAUCUAGCUCUAGUGCUUCUGAAUAAUACAGUAGUCACAGCAUAUAUUUAAAAAGGAGGAGGGGGAAAACAAUAGGAUGGUUAUUGAAGGAUUGCUUAACUGGCAAGAAGUAUUCUAAGUGUUUGUUUGUUUAAUCCUCCUCCUCUCUUGCAAUUCAUGUCAGAUUGACAAAUAAUCUGCUGAGCUUCUGGAGACCUCCCUGGAAACUCCCUGGAAAUUGUGUAUGUGGCAUUACUGUUUUGCAUAUAUGGAUGUUCAUUAUAGUAAAUGCUGGCUGCUGGACCAUUCUAUAAUUUAUUCUGCCUUAAGGGGAAAAAAUCGGACCCACAAUAGCUACACAAAUGAUUAGAUUAGAUCACAGAAUUGUAGAGUUGGAACGGAUCACGAGGAUCACCUCACUGCAAUGCAGAAAUCUUUUGCCCAAUGUGGUGCUUGAACCCAUGACUCUGAGAUUAAGUGUACUGAGCUAUCCCGCCCUCUCUUAAUAAAUAUGUCUCACACUUCCUUGUCUUCCUUAUUUUUGCUUGUUGUAUGAUUUAGGGUUCUGCUGACAGAAGCAAGGUCUGGAAAAAUAAGUCUCUGAGGAUUUGCAUCCACCUACAAGCCUGCCAAAAUGGGAAGGUGACUCACGGUUUCUAGGUCCUGUGUUGCCCAUCCCUGUUUCUGAUCAUACAUUUGAAGUGACAGGGGCUGGCCACUUAAUUACUUAACAAGUGGGUGAAAUACACAGAUAUCUGUAGGAACAAGCAUCUCAUAAAAUGUUUCCAAACUCAGCA